rnacentral:rRNA from 1 species
UACGUAGGGUGCAAGCGUUUGUCCGGAAUUAUUGGGCGUAAAGAGCUCGUAGGCGGUUUGUCGCGUCUGCUGUGAAAACCCGAGGCUCAACCUCGGGCCUGCAGUGGGUACGGGCAGACUAGAGUGCGGUAGGGGGAGAUUGGAAUUCCUGGUGUAGCGGUGGAAUGCGCAGAUAUCAGGAGGAACACCCGUGGCGAAGGCGGCGCCCUGGUCCGUUACUGACGCUGAGAUGCGAAAGCGCGGGGAGCGAACGGG